GGUGACUAGUGAGAGUGAGGGAGGUGGUGAUUAGUGACAGAGGGAGGAAUGGGGUGACUAUCACUGUGUCACCCCCUUCCUCACUCUGUCACUAGUCACCCACUCCCUCCCUCACUCGGUCACU